GGUCUAAUAGUGUAGAGGUUAUCACACGGGAUUUUGAAAUUGGUAAUGUGAUGUUACUUCCCGUAACCCAGGUUCGAGUCCUGGUUAGACCU